rnacentral:rRNA from 1 species
UAAAAUUUAAGAUUUAAAUUACGUGAAUUAGACGGUUUCAUUAAGAAUUACUAUAUAAAUAGUUAAAUUUUAUAAUAAAUGUAUAUUUCAGGAAAGCAUGUUUAUAUACAUAGAAAAAAUUUCUAUCUUAGGCUAGACCGAAUGUGGCUAGAUUUGAGUUUAGUACAUUCUAUAAUUUUCAGCUUGUCUGAAUUUAGGGAUUCGGAGAUGCGGAUCUAAAAUAGAAUUAAGUUGUAGCUCCAGCGUUAGUGAAAAUAGUUAUUCUAGAGAGAUUUUUAUAGUGCGACAAUAGGGAUUCCAUUAAUUAAGAAAGAUUUAAAUAGUUGGUAAGAAAGGGUUGAUUGGUAAGUAGGUACAGAAAAAUUUUAAUUUCAAAUGUUUUAAAUUAAUAGGAGGGUUGGUUUAUUUUUAGAUUUAAGUGAAGAAUGAAUUAAAAAUAAAUUUAAAAAUAUUUUAAGAUAUCCCAGAAGAGCAGGGAAUUUUAAUAGAUUCGGAAAAAUGAGUUAUUAAUUUAAAAUAAAUAAUUAGAUUUUGUCAAUUUUAAAGUAAGAAAGAAAGUAGGUUCAAAAGUUAAUUUUUUGUUAACUAAUACGAUGGAAACAUGUCAGUUCUAUGACGUCGGUAAAUUCAAGGGUGAGUAUCUCGUCUGUAUAAAAUUUAAUAUUAGUUUUUUGAUACAAAAAUAAUUUGUCAACUUGAAAUUAAACGGCUUAAGAAUUUUGAUUAUAUGUGGAAUGAAAAUUUAUUGGAUAAGAUUAAAUAUGAUUAUAAUAGUAAUAUUGAAGUAGGUUUUUAUAAUGUUAAUUAAAAAAGAAUUAAGUAAUUAUAUGUAAAAGGAUUUAAGUAUGGGGAGAAGGUUAAUAUUUAAUAAUUUAAUAGGAAUUUUUUAAGUUUAAGAUAUUUGUAAAUAUAAAGAUUACAUUCGGGAUGAAAAUUUGGAUCUAGUGUUAAAUAGGGCGUUGGAUAUUUAAGAUUCGAUAAUAUAAUUAAGAGAGGAAUUAAUUUGAUAUAUUUUUGGAUUGAUUUAAUUUAAAAUACUAAUUUUUUUGAUCUAUAGAAUUUUUAACUGAUUUUAAAUAAGUGAUUAAUUUAUAAGUUUUAUUAAAAAGUUGUGAUUGAGAGUAUGAAUUAAGUGAGAAAGAUUAAGUUCUUUUAAAUGAUCAUUUGAAAAUAAAAUUAUUGGGGACUAUGUUUUCCAUGUGAUUUUAUUUGGAGGAAUAGAGGUAGAAAGAGAAAAGUGAAUGUAAUGAGAAGAUAUAGUGAUAGUAUUAAAUGAGUGAAUAGGAUGAGUUUGUAUAGUUAUAAAUAUAUUGAAAUAAAUAGGGAGGAUUAAUGAUUGGGGGAUAUUAUAGUAAUAAAU